AACGCUAGCUACAGGCUUAACACAUGCAAGUCGAGGGGCAGCAUGGUCUUAGCUUGCUAAGGCCGAUGGCGACCGGCGCACGGGUGAGUAACACGUAUCCAACCUGCCGUCUACUCUUGGACAGCCUUCUGAAAGGAAGAUUAAUACAAGAUGGCAUCAUGAGUCCGCAUGUUCACAUGAUUAAAGGUAUUCCGGUAGACGAUGGGGAUGCGUUCCAUUAGAUAGUAGGCGGGGUAACGGCCCACCUAGUCUUCGAUGGAUAGGGGUUCUGAGAGGAAGGUCCCCCACAUUGGAACUGAGACACGGUCCAAACUCCUACGGGAGGCAGCAGUGAGGAAUAUUGGUCAAUGGGCGAGAGCCUGAACCAGCCAAGUAGCGUGAAGGAUGACUGCCCUAUGGGUUGUAAACUUCUUUUAUAAAGGAAUAAAGUCGGGUAUGCAUACCCGUUUGCAUGUACUUUAUGAAUAAGGAUCGGCUAACUCCGUGCCAGCAGCCGCGGUAAUACGGAGGAUCCGAGCGUUAUCCGGAUUUAUUGGGUUUAAAGGGAGCGUAGAUGGAUGUUUAAGUCAGUUGUGAAAGUUUGCGGCUCAACCGUAAAAUUGCAGUUGAUACUGGAUAUCUUGAGUGCAGUUGAGGCAGGCGGAAUUCGUGGUGUAGCGGUGAAAUGCUUAGAUAUCACGAAGAACUCCGAUUGCGAAGGCAGCCUGCUAAGCUGCAACUGACAUUGAGGCUCGAAAGUGUGGGUAUCAAACAGGAUUAGAUACCCUGGUAGUCCACACGGUAAACGAUGAAUACUCGCUGUUUGCGAUAUACGGCAAGCGGCCAAGCGAAAGCGUUAAGUAUUCCACCUGGGGAGUACGCCGGCAACGGUGAAACUCAAAGGAAUUGACGGGGGCCCGCACAAGCGGAGGAACAUGUGGUUUAAUUCGAUGAUACGCGAGGAACCUUACCCGGGCUUAAAUUGCAGAUGAAUUACGGUGAAAGCCGUAAGCCGCAAGGCAUCUGUGAAGGUGCUGCAUGGUUGUCGUCAGCUCGUGCCGUGAGGUGUCGGCUUAAGUGCCAUAACGAGCGCAACCCUUGUUGUCAGUUACUAACAGGUUCCGCUGAGGACUCUGACAAGACUGCCAUCGUAAGAUGUGAGGAAGGUGGGGAUGACGUCAAAUCAGCACGGCCCUUACGUCCGGGGCUACACACGUGUUACAAUGGGGGGUACAGAGGGCCGCUACCACGCGAGUGGAUGCCAAUCCCCAAAACCUCUCUCAGUUCGGACUGGAGUCUGCAACCCGACUCCACGAAGCUGGAUUCGCUAGUAAUCGCGCAUCAGCCACGGCGCGGUGAAUACGUUCCCGGGCCUUGUACACACCGCCCGUCAAGCCAUGGGAGCCGGGGGUACCUGAAGUGCGUAACCGCGAGGAGCGCCCUAGGGUAAAACUGAU
rnacentral:rRNA from 1 species